CUGCUAAACAAACACAACAACAAUAACGACUCAGUGUAAUUUCACAAGCGAAGUCUGGAGAAGCCUAUAUUGCGAAGGCGGAAAAGUUGUUUCCGACAUAACCUCGGCUCAGCAAAGCACAGUCAUAGCAGUGUUAAAAAGAAAUACGCUAGAGCUUACGCAGUACAUUUCAUGCUUCUUGCAAUUAAUAUUUCAUCACAGAAAAACGAAUGCUAAUGGUACUCAGCAGUUCUUAACAUUCAUGUUUCCUGUCAAAAUCUCAGAUGAGUAAGAAAAUUGAUAGAAUAUUUUACGUGUCAGUUAUCCCGAAGAAAAAUAUUUGUUCUUGGCAAAUUAAUA
rnacentral:lncRNA from 1 species